GAGAUGGGCUAUCUGUUGGAAGAAGUUAUUCCUAUUGUCCAGAAACGAAGAAAAACAUUAUUCUUAGAAACUCGGAUGUUGAUCCCCCAACCCCUAGCCCUUCCACUCCGUUAGAUGAUGUGUUUCUCCCAGUAGAUCCCGAGAAACAGUUACUUGAAAACAGCGCCGAACAAUCAAGCAACGUGAAGUACAGGACUGAAACAACAUUCAGCAUAACAUCUAUUGAUAAACAUCUCAGAAAUUGGGCAAAUUUUAGAGAUGUCAACAAAUGGGACAUGAAGCAAAUCCUCGUGCACGUUAAAACUGGAAUACUUUUUAUUUUCCUUAUUAUAUGUACUGGAUUUAUUGCAUCAAAUCCAGAAGCUACAGAAGAAAGAACACACGUCACUGUUGCUAAAAACAGACCUUACGAUUCUGGUCUGGAGACAAUGAACUCUAAUAGUUAUCCAUUGAUCAAAUUAAAAAUUGAUGGCCCUUUUGAUGAAGAGGCUGUAAACCAUACUUUCGGCAAUUCGUCAAUGAUAUACGUAACCAUCGGAGGAAAUGAAA